UAACGGCGAGUGAAGCGGCAAAAGCUCAAAUUUGGAAUCCUUCGGGAGUUGUAAUUUGAAGAAGGCUUCUUUGGCAGCAGCGCAAGUCCAUUGGAACAUGGCGCCAGUGAGGGUGACAGCCCCGUCGCAGCACGCCAAGCACAGAAGCCUUUCGACGAGUCGAGUUGUUUGGGAAUGCAGCUCUAAGUGGGUGGUAAACUCCAUCUAAAGCUAAAUACAGGCGAGAGACCGAUAGCGAACAAGUACAGUGAUGGAAAGAUGAAAAGCACUUUGAAAAGAGAGUGAAACAGUACGUGAAAUUGUUGGAAGGGAAGGGCUUGGAAGGAGCGUCAGCAUCGGUUGCAGGGGGUGGACAACAGCACAGGAACGUAGCGCUUGCGUGUUAUAGCCUGUGUGAAUACACCCACCCGCGACCGAGGACCGCUCUACAGGAUGUGUGACAUAAUCCUUUCAAGCCGCCCGUCUUGAAACA
rnacentral:rRNA from 1 species